GGGGUAUGGGGUGGCUUUUUGUGGAGCGGCUGCGUCGUAUCGCACUUACGCUUUCUGCUGAGUGAGUGGAAGGACACAGGUGUACUUUUUGUAGCGAAACGUUUUGCGCUCAUGGAGAGCGGAGCUGUGGGAGCUCGAAGGGAGCCCUGAGGGAAAGCCGGGUCCGAGGGUCGUCCUUGCCCGCCCUUUUCCUGCCGUGUGCCUGCCUGCGGGAACGGCGCGGUGCUGCUGCGGAGCCGCGGUAUUGCACCUGCACCGCCAGGAAGGAAGGAAGCGUUCCGAGGAGGCUGUGUCUGCUGACACCGAGAUGGGGUUCUGAGAAAAUGGUGCUGUAUCUUUUAACUAGAUCGCUGCUGAGGCGUGUGAAACGCUUGUUCCUCAGAUACGGUUAAGGUUGAUGUGCUUGCUGCUGUACAGCUAUGAGAAGGCCUGGUACUCCCACUUGCUAGGUUUCACAAGAGGUUUUUUAUGUGUGUUGGUUUGGGGUUCUCAGACAUCCCCCGAGAACAGGAGAAUCCAGAUCACGUUUUGGGUUUCGUUCAGAUUUGUGAGUGAGGGCUGUGAAGGCUUCUCGCGUUUCAGCCAUCACAUACAGCAUGGUGAGCGAGGUGUCAUGGCGGGGUUGUGAGGAGUUCCUGCAGCCCUGGGUAGUGCUGUGCUGUCCCUCCUGCUUCUGGAAAUGAACAGAAAUCCUGUGUCUCCAAGAAACAAAAAAUGAACCCUUCAGCCCUAAAGUAUUUUAAUCUGAGGGAAGCAUAAGACCAAGGAGCGGCUCACAGUUGUUGAGAGCAAUUUAGUGUAAUCGUGAGGUGCUUUUGUUGGGAGGAUCAGGAAUUCUCAUAGUUCUCACAUUUCGUUUCUGGAGAACAGAUGAAUUUGAAUUUCUUAGGCUCAAAUGUAAAGUUUUUCUUCUAAACCCAAGGCUUUAAAUUACAACUGGUAUCAGCUGCUUCAUAUCCCUUUGUUCUUCUGGAAAGCCACCGUGCUCCUCAACAAGAGCCUCACUGCACCGCUUACUGAAGAUGCUGGUAGAUCACGAAAAAGAAGAACCUGUAAAUCAGGAGCUACAGGAAGGUAGUACAAGAAAAAUACUUAUUUACAUACUUCCUGCUAUUGUGCAGCAAAACUUGAGCAGUCAGCUAGAAGCCUUUUAGUUUUAUUUUUACAUGCUUACAUUGAAUAGUCCUAUUGAACUCUGUGGCUAUUCCCAUGGUUGAAGCUAGAGGUUCCUACAUUUAAUUUCCUUGUAUUCACCUAACAGCAGUGACACAAGCUCCAAAUGGUAUGUGAAGUCUUGUGUGUGAGGAGGGAUGCCCCCCAUAACUCUGUACUUUCACACCCUUAAAUGACAAGUCACUGCUGCUGCUUUCCAUCCCCAUCACUUCAUCCUCUUUAUUUUGCACCUACCUAAGCAGUGCAUUGACUGGAGAAUGCAGAAGGGACACAAGACCUGUUUUGCUGUGUACCAAAUGAAGCUGCCAUGAUGCACGAUGAACAGAAAUGGCUUAUGGAGAGACCUACUGUAUGGGUUAAGUUCAUCUCUUUGUACAAGCAAGGUUAUAAACUUUAAAGAUGUGACAAUUUGAUGUGCUUUGUAUGUGACAUGCUGCUGUUGCAGACAGCCUAAAAGGGAUUUAUUUCUGUAGCCUGGCUUCUAGCAGGACCUGAGCAUGUGAGUAUGGAGGCCAGUUAUCCUAAUUUGAUGCUUAUGGUAUAAAACCAAAUACUGUUUCAGGAAUGUGUUGAUUUAAUGCAUGCAAUUGUUGUUAAAAAAAAAAAAAGCUAAUAAAUUGGUAUUUCUGAAUGUAUUAUUGUUACAAGAUUUAUUGAGUUAUAAUGCUUACCAGAAGGAACUGGGAAAGCUUUAGUGGAGGAAAAGUAUAUUUAAAUAAACUGUAGAUACUUCCACUGUUAAAGCACAGAACAAAAUACUGACUUAAACUGAGCCACAUCCAUUUUAUCUCAGUUCACCUAGCAUUGGUUCAGUGAAUAUAACGUUCCAGGGUGUGUAUUGUUGUGCUUCAUUAGUCUUGUUUCAGUGUGGAAUCAUCUGAAAAGCAUAAUCUCAUUAUCUGCAGUUAAUUGUUGAUCACUAGCUUGUACUUAACUCUUGUCAAGCUUGAAUUUCAACACUUAAGCUGGAGAUGUUUCUCUUAUAUUGGUUUUUCUAACUAGAAAAACAAUAUUUGUUAGACAUCUCAAACUUGUUAACCUGUAAUUCAGCAUUGAGCCUGCUGAAGUUCAAGAAGUAUUUAGGCAACAUUAUAAGAAGCAUGGUUUGAGUUUUGGGUGGUGUGGAGCAGAGCCAGGAGGUUAUGGGGUUGUUUGGUGGUGGUUGUUGGUUUUUUUGUUUGUUUGUUUUUUCAGCUGUUGUGCCCCUUUUACUGUAUCAUAAGACAAAUUGUUCUCCUGCUAACUGGAGUGUUAACUGUUAAUGUAUGUGAGGUGUAUUUAGAGUGAUGUUUCUAUACAUCACUCUGCACUUAGUGAUAUUGCCCUCGACUAUAAAAUUUUGGAGAGCUAAGGUUUCUGUAGGACAUAAUCUUUUUUGGUUUACUGAGAUCAGAAGGGAAACCUAUAUUGAAGAGUGUUAUUGUAUAUGUAACUUCCUGGGAUGAAAAAAAGGUGUAUAGUUACCACUGUCAGUAGUUGAUGAAACUUAGACAACUAUGUGUCCUGGUUCUGCUGGAGUGCAAUGUAUGUGAUCUCAGGUUAGAUUUUAGUUAAUCCAGGUGGGUGUUUCACACAUGAAUCAGUCUUUACAAUUUCUCUACUUUCAGAGCAAAUCAAGGAUUACAGUGCCCCCUACAGCAGCUCUGCGGUUUUUGUUUUUUCUUUGAAUCUUGAGUGAAGCUGGGCGGAGGUACGUGCCAGGUAUACUGACAGUAAAAAUAAUAGUGGCUCAGAGAAGCCUUUUUUUGUUGUUGUUUUUUUUAAGAUUGGUCUUCAGUUUCUAGUUGACUUUCUCCCUUGCUGCUCAGAGGUUUUCAUCUGUCCCGGAGCUACUUAUUUCUGUUUUAUUAGCACUGGUGCACUGUGACGUUGGAAAUUGCUGGUUGUGUUUCUCCUGAGCAGAAACUAAAAUCUGAGAGCAGCUGUGGCUAGAGGAGGGUAUGCUGAGAAGGCUGGGAUGACUGUGAUUUCCCCUUCUUGAGCGCUGCUUACUGAAGCACAUGCUCCUGGACAUGUGAUGGAGAUGUAGCUUUGCAGCUCUUCCCUAGUUGAUUUAAGUGGAGCAGGAAGAGAAACCCAAAACAGGAAAGAGUGAUUUAAAUUAAGGCAGCACUGGCAUAAAUAAGAACAAGUGACCAUAAAUAUAUUAGGGCUUGAAUUCUGUGGGCUUUAAGUCUUGGAAGACCAAGGGUUCAGAGCAAUAUAAUGAAAAGAAUAAUGUCACAUAUUUGUGUAUGAUAAGUUUUUGGACUUAGUAACCUGAAUAUCUCCUCCAGUCUCGUGUUUUUAACGAAAGCUUCAGUCUGUGAGGAAGCUCUCUCAAAAUUUUAAUGAAAGAUUUCGUCCCAAGUAAUUUCCCUUGACCUGUGGAGUUCUUUAGAAGUCUGUGAUAUAUAAGUCUCUGCUUUUAUUCCUAGGGGUUUUUACAGAGACUUCUAUGGAUUGUGGAGAUGGUUGAUCUGUUUUUUAAAGAAAAUGGGUUGGAGUGAAAGUAGUAGAGAUGUCCAAGUCCACGACUUGGAAGUUUUCAGGAAGUUUGGGAGAAUCGAAUGUUUCUCCUCCACUAUUUCUUGAAAGCAUCUUCCUUCAGGAAAAUGCUUAGGUACAUGCUUGUCAGCUAUUCACGUGUUGUAACAUAGGUGAGGUGUCUAUGAUGUAGAGAAGUAUAAAUUUUGUUCGAAAACUGUAGUUACUAUGGCCAAUUAAAAUCAAGUAUGUGCAUGGCUUUGCUUUUGGAUGGGGAAAAGAAAUGACCUUUCAAAUCUUGACCAUCCAAAUACAUUUAGAAAAAUAUGUUACAUGGCUUUUUCUCUUACGUCAGCAGAUUUGGACUUAGAUGUUCCUUUCUUUCUCUUGAUGAAAAGGAGAAACCUCUAUCCUUUGAUGUCACACAAAAUUAUGCAUGCUUUAUGCUGGGCAGCUGAUGAAGGGAGCAUUUUCUUGUCACACCUGUUUCUCAGCCAGCAAAUUCUCCUUGAUGCAGGUGGUAAUGAAUCAUAUUUUUCAGCUUUAUCAGGAUUCUCAUCAGUUACAAUUUCAUGUUCAGAACUGUGGGGAACUUUAGUGUGAUGACUUAAGGCUUUCUGGUGCUUUCUAGUUAAUUUCUUUUUAGUAACAGUAACAGUAAAUCAGACAAUGUGAUUUCCAGAAUGGGAAGUAUGUUCUGAAAAACUGUAUACAUUUUAAGAAAUUUCUGAUGCAAUAAACAACUCUUCUUUUUAA